GCUUACGGCCACACCGCCUGGUUCACGCCCGAUCUCGUUUGAUUUCGGAGCUAAGAUAGGUUGGGCCUGGUUAGUACUUGGAUGGGAGACCGCCUGGGAAUACCAGGUGCUGUAAGGC
rnacentral:rRNA from 1 species